GAUGUGUAAGUUUAAUGAAAAAGCAGGGCUCUUCCAGGAGAUGACAAGGCCCAAGAUGUGGCUGCCUUGGAAGUUGGCCUCUGCACUUUCCCUCUCUCUAUGCCCUUGAGUUGGCCAGACCACAUAAUGUGCCCCUCGAGAUCCCCAACUACACAGAUCUCUUUUUCACCCUGAGUUCUUCAAGGACUGUGGCCUGUUAUGAAGAAAUAGUAGAUCCAUCUCUUUCCAUAACUUUAAGAAACCAAUGGUGAAAAAUUACACAGACUAGAUGUCUCCCUGAACUAAAGACAGUUUAAGGGGCUAGACAACAGCAGUGAGGACUAAGACAGUAGGGAGUUCUGCAGGGAUUCCAGAACAAACAUCUAAGGGAAGUCAGAGUGGCCAUUGUUGGAGCAUGUUUCCGAAUAGCUGGGGAACUUCCUGCCAAUACACUGUACAUCCAGGAUGCUGUGGAAAAGCAGACAGGUGAACUAAGACCUUCAUAGAAGUUAAAUAAGGAGCCAGUUCAAGGUUCCAAAUGGUAUGCUCGAAGAUGAUGGGCAAUCACUGCAUUUCAAAGCAUGUCAUGGUAAAUCUCUUUAAAGGUUUUAGACUGGAACGCUAGCUCAGAGAAAGAAACGAGAAAGGAUGAAAACUCACAUUUCAAGAUAUACUGCAACAAAUGUGAAUAAAUAUUGAUAUUCAUCUUAGAUCCAAAAUUCUCCAUACCACGUACUUCUCAAGAGAUCCUCACUUCAACAGAUACGAUAAGAGAAACUUGAGGAGCAGAGGGGGAAAGAACCCUGCUGACAUGACACACUUAAUUGCUUCAGCUGAGAUUGAAAUCAGGCAGCCUGACUCCAAAGCCAAACUUACAAGAGAAGAUAGCACAGGGAUGGACGAGGAACCAAGAAGGAAGUAUACUAAUGCCACUGCUCUGAAUUCUGUUUCCACCACCAUAUUUUGUCACUUUUAGGAGAUUAAAUACUAUUUUCUUUUUUAAUCAUGUCAAUAUGAUUCAAGCAAUGGUAUAUAUUUUUGCAAGUGUAAGACUAACAGAUUUUCAAAGCAGAAUGUCUGGAAAACACAGCAUCACCUAUAAUUGUACCACUUAGGCACAAAACCCUAAAUGCUUUCAUAUAGUAUUUUCAUCUUCUCAAUCAUUUUUCUUUACAGAGAUAUACAGAUAGAUGUAAACUUUAUAAUUAUUUCAAAAUUCAAAUUACAGUUUUUUCUCAUGGCAUAGGCUUUGCCCCAUCUUGUUGAAUAAAUGGUUUUUAAAUGCUGUGCAAUAUUCCACUAUAUAAAUGCUGCAUGAUUUUACUAGUCUCUUCUUUUCAGACAUUUGGCUUGCUUCUAUUUUUUAACUAUUAUAAAUACUUCUUUGAUGAACAUUCUUGGUAUAAAUAUUCAUAGGAAUUUCUGAGAAUAACUUUUCAGAAAUGAAAAUACUGGGGAAAGGUAAGAAUAUUUACAGGUUCUUGUACAAAUUACCUUGGUUGUACCAAUUUAUACUUUCAUUACUUAGUGGAAAUGUUCAUUUUACCUCACCCUCACCAUUGCCAUGGACUUCCAUUUUUAAAAUUAUGGAAAUUUGAUAUGUUACUUUUGUUUUCAUUUUAUCUAUAUCUCGCUUUUUCACUGGUAUAGCAGACACUUGUAUCUCUUCCUUUGUGAUCUGCUCAUGUCUUUUGCCCAUCUUUCUUUCAUAAUGUUUGUCUAUACUUAAGUUUAAGUACAAGAAGGUGUAUCAUGCUCAUGUGUAUCUUUAAUCAAAUAAAGUAAGGUCUUUUUAGAUUUCACUGUUAGCAUUUCAUGUGUCUCUCUG